CCUGGGUCCGGCGUGAUGAGGUGGGGCUUCGUGAGCGCUGGAAUGUGCCGGCGCGGUCCCCAAGGCCCGCCGCGCGGGAGGCCGGCGUUCUCGGUUCCAGAUGCUGCCUCCGGCCUCGGGAAGUAGGGAGCAGGGCUCCUCUGGGAUCCUGUAAACUUACUCAGCUCAAAAUGCAGUCCAGUGCCCUGCCCUUCCUUCCAGAAGAUCAUUUUCACAUGAAAAAUCUUAUACGGAUAGACAAACUUCUGCUCAAGUUUUCAUUGCAAGAAAAACAGCAACACUGUUUAAGGACCUGUCUCAGGCUACCUUAAAGGGCCAUCCUUUAAGGAACACAGAGAAGUCUAUUAUCCUUACAGUGAAAUGCAAAACAACUGCAGAAAACCCCACUGAGUUCGCUCCAAAUGCUCAUCUUCUUCUUCAGCCCUGGAUGUCAAACAGGAAACAAAAUUAUUUUUCUUCCCAGAGGGCAGAGUAAGCUUGCCCCACAUUUGGGUCCUCAGCGGGAAUGCAGAGCACCAGGUCAGCGGGAGGCUGCCCUAGCCCUCUGGAGACCUCAGGAUUGAACUUUCCGCAAACUUCUUGGCCGUGUGGCCACACCUGGACCCUAACCCCAAGGCCCACUCACUGCUUCUCCUGCGCAUCCAGGUCCCUGACGAGCGCGUCGCGCUUGUUUACCAGGGCCACCAGCUCAUCCAGCAGGAGCUGCUCACGUCGCUUCUGGGCCUCCGUCUUCUGCCAGUCUGCAGAGCACAGGAGGCUAGUUACCCUCGGCACAGCCUCGGUAUGCUUCGCCCCCGCCCCCUCCCCUUCCCGCCUUUUUCAGUUUUCUUAUAUCUCUAAGCAAACCAUGUUAAUGGAUCCAGUAGUUUGUGCUUUCUGGGGCAUUUGGCCGUCAUGAUGAAGGCUUUAUACCUAGAAACCUACUUUCUAAAUAUUUCCUGCAGAUGGAGAUGGGUGCUGCAGGGUUGGAACCUGCUAGAGACCAGGUGUGAGCUGAUGGCCAGCAAGAGAUACACACCUGAAUCCAGCAAAGUGGGGGAGGGGAGCUGGAGGCCUGAAGAGGUUGGCCCAACGGUUGGGAAGGGGGUGUGGGUAAAUGAGGAGGCGGGAAACAGAGAGGGCGAUAAAAUCAUUUUGAAAGGACUAGAGAAUCUGCCAGAGAACCUACCCUCCUCCCCCACCCCCACUCUCACCCCAAACAGCCCAUUCUUCGCUAAUUUCCUCUUCGCUCUAUUUUAGCAGUUGGAUGUAUCUCACACUGGGCGCCAUAUGCUUCACAAUAACUUUAAAAGUAGUGAAUCGGCUAAUUAGCAUUUUUCUUUGAAGUAAAAAAUAAAUUUGCUCUGCAAUAUUACACUGCAGCUCUCGAUCGCAUCACAGCCAGUUUUCUUUUGGAGACGUUUGCUGGGUGGUUUCAAAUUAAGGCACUUUUUGCAAAGGAAAAAUUACAUAUUUCUUUUUGAAACCUCAUGUUAGAGGUUGGAAAAUCCAAUGGGCAGUGCUUUUUCCAUGAGUAGGGGCUGUUUUAUGAGAGUUUUAGUCUCCACUAAUAUAUUUACUAAUCCUAACUGGCCUAAUAAUUUCCUUAAGAUGAGCAGCAGUUUCAUUAAAUAAAAACAGGACCAAAUCGAACAUUUAAAACACUUUUGAAACCAAAGCCAACUGCUCUCUGGCCAGACUGUAAGGGCUUGUAGCUGUCAAUCAACCCCCUGUCUACCCCGCCUCCCUCAUUAGGAAGGUAAACAAUGAAAAGAAGAAGUAGAUGAUGAGGCAGAUAGCAGAACAAAUGAGGACCUAGAGGGAAACAGGACACCAGCUUAAAAAAA